ncrna:unclassified sequences DTF3800-VI RNA
GGGUUGGGAGUGCUGCCUUUAUGCGGUGCGUCGGGCUUUAUGCCCGCCUGGCUC